GACAGAGGUGGCGAGCGUUGUUCGGGUUUAUUGGGCGUAAAGCGUACGCAGGCGGUUUGGUAAGUCAGAGGUGAAAGCCCACAGCUUAACUGUGGCACUGCCUUUGAUACUGCCUUUCUAGAGUGCAUGAGGGGGAAGCGGAAUUCCGAGUGUAGAGGUGAAAUUCGUAGAUAUUCGGAGGAACACCGGUGGCGAAGGCGGCUUCCUGGCAUGUAACUGACGCUCAUGUACGAAAGCGUGGGGAGCAAACAGG
rnacentral:rRNA from 1 species